rnacentral:rRNA from 1 species
GACGAACGCUGGCGGCGUGCCUAACACAUGCAAGUCGAGCGAGAGACUUCGGUCUCUAGCGGCGGACGGGUGAGUAACACGUGGGUAACCUGCCUCAUAGUGGGGGAUAGCCUUCCGAAAGGAAGAUUAAUACCGCAUAUACUCUCGAUACCACAUGGUAUUUAGAGGAAAGGAGCAAUCCGCUAUGAGAUGGACCCGCGGCGCAUUAGCUAGUUGGUGAGGUAACGGCUCACCAAGGCGACGAUGCGUAGCCGACCUGAGAGGGUGAUCGGCCACAUUGGAACUGAGACACGGUCCAGACUCCUACGGGAGGCAGCAGUGGGGAAUAUUGCACAAUGGGCGAAAGCCUGAUGCAGCAACGCCGCGUGAGUGAUGACGGCCUUCGGGUUGUAAAGCUCUGUCUUUUGGGACGAUAAUGACGGUACCAAAGGAGGAAGCCACGGCUAACUACGUGCCAGCCACCGCCGUAAAAC